rnacentral:misc_RNA from 1 species
UGGUUCUGGCAUNGAUGAAGAACGCAGCGAAAUGCGAUAAGUAAUGUGAAUUGCAGAAUUCAGUGAAUCAUCGAAUCUUUGAACGCACAUUGCGCCCGCCAGUAUUCUGGCGGGCAUGCCUGUUCGAGCGUCAUUUCAACCCUCAAGCCCCCGGGCUUGGUGUUGGGGACCGGCCACCGCGGACUCGUCCGCCGGCCGCCCCCUAAAUCUAGUGGCGGUCACGCCGCGGCUUCCUCUGCGUAGUAGCACACCUCGCAGCCGGAUCGCGGCGCGGCCACGCCGUAAAACCCCAACUCUGAAAUGUUGACCUCGGAUCAGGUAGGAAUACCCGCUGA